rnacentral:rRNA from 1 species
AUGAUCGGAGAUAAGCUAGUUGAUGCAUACUUACAUAUGCGGGUUGCCAAGGACUUGCGGGAGGCGCUCGAAUCUAAAUUCGGCGCAAUGGAUGCUAGAAGCGAGAUGUAUAUUAUGGAGCAGUUCCACGAUUACAAAAUGGUCGAAAACCGUUCUGUAUUGGAACAGGCUCAUGAGAUACAGUGCAUUGCUAAGGAGCUUGAGCUUCUCAAGUGUGUGCUGCCAGGCAAAUUUGUCGCGGGUUGCAUUAUCGCUAAGUUACCCAAUUCCUGGAGGAACUUUGCCACUACUCUAAAACAUUAG